rnacentral:rRNA from 1 species
UACGAAGGGGGCUAGCGUUGCUCGGAAUCACUGGGCGUAAAGGGUGCGUAGGCGGGUCUUUAAGUCAGGGGUGAAAUCCUGGAGCUCAACUCCAGAACUGCCUUUGAUACUGAAGAUCUUGAGGUCGGGAGAGGUGAGUGGAACUGCGAGUGUAGAGGUGAAAUUCGUAGAUAUUCGCAAGAACACCAGUGGCGAAGGCGGCUCACUGGCCCGAUACUGACGCUGAGGCACGAAAGCGUGGGGAGCAAACAGG